rnacentral:lncRNA from 1 species
CCUUCAUCUCUGCAAGUGUCAAAACAUUAAUUUGUGUCAAGAACAUAUGCUUUCAGUACUUAAAACAAGCUUGUUUUUGUGCUGUUGCUCUGCCUUGUUAGUUCUUACACUUCAAUUGUCUAGAAAGGUUGCCCCUCUCUACUAUAAAAAAAAAUAAAAAAAGCCAGGAAUAAUUUCACCACUGAUUGAAUGAAUGCAAUGAACAGUCAUUCCUCGCUGAGAAAGGCUGAGCCUCCUGCCAUUGUUCUCUUGACAAAUAGUGAAUGUCCUCCCUUUCCACUGUCUGACCUUGACUAAUUGUGGAGAAUUGGUGCAGCUGUCCCUGGCUCAUUCAGGGCUGCAACACAAGGGCAUGUAAGAAACUUUAAGCUGCCAUCAUAAAACUCCAGUUUGAGGACUUCAUCACAAUGCAUGGUGCUCACUUUUUUGUUGCUGCUGUUUAGCUUGUUGCUAUUUACUUCCUCUGAUAGUGUAUUUUAUAGUCACGCUGUUUUCUUCUCAUUUGCUUUUGUAUGCAUCUGGAAUACGUAGAUUGUAGUGAGAGUAUUUCUAAAAGAGAUAGGUAAAGUCACAUGGAGAAAUACUUAUAAAACCAUCAAUUAAAAAGGUCAAUGGUUCAUAUAAAAGUGCAAUAAAGUCAGUUCCCAAGUCAGCCAAGAUCACUGGUCCACUUCUGAACCUUCAGCUAACCCAGCCCAGAAUCAGUGAAAACAAUCAUGAACAACACAGAGAGCAUUUAGCUUCUGUCCUGGUAAUGAAGAGCAUGAACAAGUGGAGAAUUUUGCAAAAUGAAUAUGUCUGUAAGAAACGUGCAUCCUUAUUUACAAACCUAAUCAGUUAGAACGAAGGUUCUGUGUGUUAUUUCGGAAGAUUAUUCCUAAUCACUUCCUUCAGUGCCACGUUCAAGAAGAAAUCCAACCAUUCAGUGUAAAUUUAUAGUUUAGUGAUUUUAGGUAACCACGUGGUCUUUUGUCUUCCUUUAGAAAGUUUCCUGUACUAUGGUUUGUACUGCAGGGCCUUGGUUUUAGAAGACAGUUUUUGUGAUUUGAAUCUCAAGAUGCUGCAAAGGUAUGAGUUCUGAUUUUCUGCUUUGAAGCCUCAGACUGUUAGAGAACCAUCCUUUUCAGCAGAUAGUGCUA